CACUAGGAGCCUCGGAGAGCCCCCUACAGGCGGGAGGACCCGAAAGGAAAGUACUUCCGCUCAGAUGGGCGGAGCUAGGGAGGUGGGGGCGGAAGUGACUGUGUUCGUUUUGGGGCUUGCAGCGUCAGGUAGCUACGUCUACCGUAAGUGGGUGAGGUGUAGUGGGCUCUUCAAGUUUUUGAAGUCAUUUUCGUGAAGGCUUGAGAACUCUGUUCUUUCACUGUGCACAUGGGAUGUCGUUUAGAAACUUACUGUUUUGGGGGUCUUCUUUUCCUGGUAGAAAUAUGAGUUUUCUCUUGAAGUUUUAACUUCGUGCCAUAGCUACGGUAGCUGCCUAGGGCCCACACUGGAGCAAAGAGAAACAUGUGAUUUGGAAACAGAAAGACUGAAAGUACGGGGCAUGAAGAGCCUUUGAUUUCUGGAGGCCACAUGGUCACCCAUGUAAUGGAGUAGCAGCUUUGCAGUGGUCAGUUAUUAAAGGUGAGGGCACAGUGAGAAGGUAGCCAUCUGCAUUCCAGGAAGAGUCCUCUCAUCAGGAAUCAAGUUGGCUGGCACCUUGAUCUUGGACGUCUCAGCCUCCAGAACGUUCGCUAAACUUUCUUAAGACGAUUAUUCUGAAUUCUUUCACAGUUCACAGAUCUCCAUUUCUCUAGGGAAACAACGUGACAAUUCCCAUGAAAUUUCAGUCUGAUGCUAAAGGUAGGGACCGAGGUCAAGCUCGAAGUCAUUUACAGGACCAUGAACACUGCCUUAGACUAAAUCUGGGCUUAGCAGCUGCAGAAAAAUAACUCAUGGAAAGCCUUGUUUUAUUAUUUGCUGACAAUUAAAUGCAGUAUCAUAUGAACAUAUUAUGAAAGGGAUUUUGUAAGUGAGAGGGAGUGGCUGGGAAGAAGCAAGGUGAGUGGUGGAAAUGACACUGAAACUUAAACAAUGUUGGAGGGAAGAGUCAUCCACCUAGGGGGACUUCCUGAUUGAAAGCAACAGCAGAAACACAAACAUAUUGAAUUUAGAGCUUUGCAAAUGCAUCUCUUCAUGUCGGGUAUUUUGAGUCCUUUUCUAUUCCUAGGUAUGUUUACUAAAUUAUAUGAAUCCAGUAAUUCCAAUUAUCCUUUGCAUAUCCAUCCUAAAGUGCAUUUUAUACCAUUGGAUUGCAUUUGGAUUUGUUUUUAAGUUACAGAAAAGAAAUCUUGAGUCAGUAAAUGUGGUUAGAUCUCCAGGUCACUGAAUCUUGAAAGAAAUAGAUUUAAAAAGCUUUUUUAAAAUAAGGAAAAAUGACAAAACUCUGGGAAGAAAAAGUUGAAUGUCACUAUUUCUUAGGUGCUAAUUAGAGAUGUGUUUAAUUGCAUGUUGUUCAUUUGAAGAUACUACCUUUUGAUCACUUCACAGGUAGGUAGCGAGCAUUGGUCCUUUUCCAACUGGUUAGACGUGAUGCUGGGAAAACUAGACUCUUUUACCUGACAUAGAUAACUUACUGUUUUAAUUCCUGAGGUGACAUCUUUCCAGUGUUAAAUACAGACCAGAAUAACAAUUGUAUUAUAAUUAUCAACAUUUGGGCAAGGCAUGUAGAAGACUGCCCAGAGUACUGUUUUGUUUUUUUUUUUUAAAUAAAUCUUCACUUCAUUUAGUUCUCUGAUUACAUAAUUAUGCCCUUUUUUUUUCUUUUGCAAAGUAAAUUGCUUUAGGAAAAUUUUAGUAAAAAGAAUUAAGACCUUCAACAAAAUACUGAUGUACUGUGAACCUCAAUUUUCUGUCUGUAGGAUGGGGUUGUUAAUACCCAUAGGUCACGGAGAGUGCUAGAGGAGAUAACUAGUUGUCACGUAUAAAUCAGUUUGUAAAAGCAAUUUUGUUCCAGGGCAUAAUUUUCAGGUGCUGAUAAUCAGAUCUUUAAAGAAAAAAAAAAUCUCUCUUAACUUGGUUGUCAUUUGUUAAACAAAGACUAGGAUAUCUUCGGGUGGUCAGUCAACUCACUCAUGGCCAUGAGGUGAACUGUAAUGGCCUCAAACUAACUUCUUCAGGUAAAAUGAAAUUCUAUUCACUUGGAGGCUCAGUUUUAUCUACCAGUAGUUGAUGUGGUGAGCUAUCUGACUUCUAAAAGUGUCUUUUGUCAGUCAUUCAUUCAUGCAUGCAUUUAUGGAUUCAUUUAAGAAAUAUUUAUUCAGUACCCACUCUGUACAGAAUUGCUGGGUAUCACAGGUACCCCUACCCCAUCUCCCAAGAUUCCUAUCCCCUGGUUGAUCAAUCAAACACUAAUUUGGUAUUACUGUGAAAGGAAUUUGCAGAUGUAAUUAAAGUCCAUGUUAGUUGACCUUAAAAUAUGGAGAUGAUCUGGGUGGGCCUAACAUAGUCUCACGUCUCUUUAAAAACAAGCAGUUUUCUCCACUGGUGGCAGAAGGUGACAUCAAGAGACUAAAACCUUGAAGGGGAUUUGACUUGUUUGCUGGCUUGAGGAUGGAGGGGCCCACCUGUUAAGGAAUAAGUGAUCUUUAGAAUCAGAGAGCAGCCUCUAACAGCCAACAAGGAUAUGAGACCUCAGUCCUACAAUCACAAGGAACUGGAUCCUGACAACAACCUAAAGAAACCUGAAAGUGGAUUCUUCCCUAGCGCCUUGUGGAUGCCCUGAUUUCAGCCUUGUAAGAUCAGACAGAGAGAACUGUUGAGCCAUAUUGUACUUCAAGAUUACAGAACAGAACUGUGAGGUAAUAAAUCUGUGUUGCUUUUAAACCACUGCAUUCAUGGCAGUUGUUUGCUACAACAGAAAACAAAAGCAAUCAUUGAUCUUUCAUAUUGUGACAUAUCAAGCAACUGCAGAAAGCAAUGCAAGGGUUAAAGAGACAAAAGUUAGAAAUGGAAAACCUAAAGACAUGUCAAGGCAAAAUGCCUGAGCAUCCAAUGAGCAGUGCCUGUAGUAAGUGUUCUUAGUACCAGGAAGGGUGUUUCAGAGUGGGUGGGACUGUUUUGAGUUCUUCCUGGAGCAGGGGGACCAAAAAGCAUGGGAAGGUUUGGCAAGGUGGAAUUUCUUUUAUAAUUUCAAAUAAAUGUCCUUUUGAA